UCUCCGUAGGUGAACCUGCGGAGGGAUCAUUACAUAGUUCAUGCCCUACCGGGUAGAUCUCCCACCCUAUGUUAUUAUUACUUUGUUGCUUUGGCGGGCCGUUAGGCUCCGGCCCGACUACCGGCCCCGGCUGGUAAGCGCCCGCCAGAGGGCCCAAAACCCUGAAUAUUAGUGUCGUCUGAGUACUAUAUAAUAGUUAAAACUUUCAACAACGGAUCUCUUGGUUCUG
rnacentral:misc_RNA from 1 species